GAUGAAGAACGCAGCGAAAUGCGAUAAGUAAUGUGAAUUGCAGAAUUCAGUGAAUCAUCGAAUCUUUGAACGCACAUUGCGCCCCUUGGUAUUCCGAGGGGCAUGCCUGUUCGAGCGUCAUUAUAACCCCUCAAGCUCAGCUUGGUGUUGGGGCCUGCUGCACUGGCAGCCCAUAAAAUCAGUGGCGGCGCCAUCUGGCUCUAAGCGUAGUAAUUCUUCUCGCUAUGGAGUCCUGGUGGAUGCUUGCCAUCAACCCCCAAUUUUUCUAUGGUUGACCUCGGAUCAGGUAGGGAUACCCGCUGAACUUAAGCAUAUCAAUAAGCGGAGGA
rnacentral:misc_RNA from 1 species